UGGGUGGGAGUGGAAUGGACUGGGAGUUUGGGGUUAGCAGAUGCAAACUAUAACAUUUAGAAUGGAUAAGCAAUGAGGUCCCACUGUAUGGCACAGGGAAUCUCUUGGGAUAGACCAUGAUGAAAUGUAAUGCAAGAAAGGGAGUAAGUGAGUGUGUAUGUGAAUGAAUGACUGGGUCACUUUGCUGUACAGCAAAAAUUGACAGAACAUAGUAAAUGAGUUAUACUUUAAUAAAAUUUAAAAAAAAGGAAAAAAUUAUUCUCAUUUCUUUGGGUAGCUCUGAAGUUUAAAUGAGAACACCUGUCACUCAGUGAGUAAAUGCUGACUAUUGUUAUUGUACAGAUUCAGAGACUAGGCUGUGGCAGACUAACCAGGUUGCCCAAGGUGAUCUAGUUGUGCAGUGGCAGGCCCCUUCCAACCUAGGACUUCCCCUUGGCUCUCACUUGUUUGGAGGACCACACUGCUUCUUCUGUAUCACAUUCUUGAAACUUUUCAGCAUGUACCAGAAACAACACCUUGGGCUGAGUUUGGAUUAUGGGGAAUAAUGCAUUUUUCUUCAUCUCUCUGACUUCAGCAAGAAUCUCCUACCCUUAGAAAACAUAUAAAUUUCCAUAAAAUUUGUCAUCUUGAGCAUAAAUAAUUCCCACACACAUCUUGGUUUCUGAUACUCAGGAGAUUUAACUGCCUUUGCAGAGGCAGCCAUCCUGCUGAAUUGUGUUUAUCUCUCCAAAUACUAUUGUUUUAAAUCACCCUCCUUAUCUAAGACACUAAUUAUUUCUUUAAAACCGUAACCAGUUCAUUUAUUUACAGGAAUCUUUCUUUCCUUGAAGAUGUUUGUGCUUUAUCUUUCUGACAAGACAAUAUUGUGACAGUUAAUCUGCACCUGGUCCAUAUCUUCACUUAUAACAUAUGUCCUUUCUUCACUUAUAACAUUUAUAUUACAUCUUAAUGAUUUUUUCUUAAUACAUGAUAUAGUAUUUAGACAUAGCCCAGCUUCCAUGUAUAGCUCUUCUCUUCUCUUUUCAUACACCUUGCAUUUCCAAGCUAGGCUCUAAAAAUGCCAUCUCCUUCAUAUCUCUUCUCUUGCUUAAAAAAUGUAUUGGCUCUAUAUCAUACACCAAACAGCAUAGGCCCUGCUCACUUGGCCUCUGCCUUCCUCAUCUAAUGCAUACAUAUCAGCUGCUAUUAAUAUUAAUGUUACUUCUCUUAUUUUUCUACCAUACAUAUCCCAUAUUUGAGUUUUCCAUAUAUAUAUAUACAUCUUUAAGACUUUUCUUCUCAAAUUAUUAGGCACUUUUUAGGUACACUGUGCUAGGCACACAGAAAUUAGGCAAUAGUUUCAAUCCUUGAACAUCUUAUUUGAGUAUAUACCUAACUCUCCAUGUACAAUUGUUUAGUUUUCCUUUUUAAUCAGAAAAUGUAUUUUAUCAGACAUAUUGCCAAUGGAUUCUUUUUAGACUCAUAAAUUGCUUUAGACCCAUGAGUUGCUUUUGAUUUUGACAAAUAUAUUAAGUCAUAUAAUAAUAUCCCAUUUUCUUUUAUUUGUCUUUGUAAUAUCCUCUCUCCCAGUUCCAGCCCCCAGCAACCAAUGAUCUGAUCUCUAUCUCUGUAGUUUUGAUUUUUACCAAAUGUCAAUAAGUGAAAUCUUAGAGUUUCAUGUUUAGUAUUGAAGUCACAAACAUUUUUAAGUCAUAGAACCCUUUCUUCAAGCGGUGACUUAAUGUAUAAAAUAGAUAUGGCAGGUAUUGGGAAGCAGCUUUGUAUAAAUGCUGUACUUUUGAGGAGGGACUGGGGAAGCUGGAGCCCACCUAGUCAUCAGCCACCUCCAUGACCCCCUGCACCCAUUGCUCUAGUGUGCUUGAGGGCCUCCAUGGUCUCUGAAGUCACUGCCCUGCUCGUGAUGGGCCUUGUAUUGGAAUGUACUUCCACCUUCCUGCUUUUUGCCAUGAGAAAUUCCUACUGAUCCAUCAAACUUGGUUUUCUUGGCCUUCCUUGAACUCCAGGUAGGGUUCAGCUUACCUUCCUUUCUAGAGCUCCUGGUACUUCCUAUAGCAUAGUCAAUGUUGCUAUAUAGUGAUUUUUUUCCUAGUGCAGAGAGAUAGCUGACUUAGUAACAAAGAGCCCUGACUCUGGAUCCAGAGUGGCUGGUUCAAAUCUGGACCCAAGCUUUCUAGCUGUGUGACCUUGGCAAGUUGUUUAACAUCCCUUUGCCUUGGUUUUCUCAUCUGUAAAAUGGAGGUCAUAAUUUUCUUCAUCUCAUAGUCUGCUCUAAGGAUGGAAUGUUAGAACAUAGGUAAAGUGCUUGGAAGGGCACCUGGUACACAGGGACUCUGACACAGCGAGGUGCAACUGGAGCUGGUGUGCACCACUGUUGUAUUGGGCUCCCCCAAAGGAGGCUUCCAAAGGACUUGAGUGCAAGUGACUUAUUUGGGAGAUUAUCCCAGGAAACAUCAGUGGGGGAGUAUGAAACUGAGGUAGGAAAGGGGAGAAAGUGCAUGCAGCAUUCUUUGAUGAUCAGGUAAUGGAAGUGGGUACUUGGACUUCACUCCUACUGGGGGGCCUCUAGGAGAUGAUGUAGAAUUUGCUUCAGAGUUUUUCUAACCAAGAAACGAAUACAUUUCAAGAUUUAUCCUCCAACUCCCAUUCUUCAUUGGCUGAUGUCUACUCCUAGCACUGAAUUUCUGGCAUUCCAGCCUGAUCCAUGUGCAGGCAGAGCCCUAGGUAGAGCCUUGCACAUGUUUAGACUAGGAUUCCAUUGGUGUGUUGUUGCUGAGGGCAUGUAGACGUGACACUGAACAGUGAUUGCUGCAGGUCUGUGAACAGAAUUCUCCAGAGCUUUCUGUCUUUUCUCUUUCUUACUUUCCCUGGCCCAUGUGCUAGGCCUCCAUAGAUCUUUGCGGAGUGAAGGAAUGAUUAAACACAAGAAUUUUCUCUGCUUGACCUUCAAAGCUCUCUGUAAUUGUGUCUCACCCCAUCUGUCUCUUAUUCUCAUAAUGUCAGUCUCAUGAUUCCCAAACUAUAUUCCUCUUCUUGAAUUAUGUCAGUCUUCUCAGUUCCUAGACACAUCCAUCCGAUUUCUUUACAUGGAGUGUUCUGCCCUCUGGUCCAACUCAAUCCUACUCAUUCUUCAAGCUGUUCCCAGUCUCCAACAUUUCAUCUCUUACAUGAAACCUUUUUUCAACUCAGGUCACUUCUCUAAAGUCCCAUUAACACAAAAAGACCACAUAUUUAGUGUUUGAUGAUCUGCUGAAACCAAAAUCAAUGUGCGUUUCAAGGCUAAACAAAAACAUCCAUAUCUUAUUUACCUCUUGCCUUUUUUGUCCACUCGGAUACAUUGUAUGUAGUAAUACUAUUAAAUACUGAAAGGAAGUUGUGCAUGGGAUUUGAGAUUAUAAGACAACCACAAUUGAAUACUUGUUCUUUCACUUAUGAGCUAUGUAUGACCUUGGGCAACUGUAUAGCUUACUUAUCUCUUUUUUCCUUCAUCUAGAAAAUAUGGCUUACAGUUGCUGGUUAGCUCAGGUGGUUAGAGCGUGAUACUAAUAGAAAAUAUGGCUAAUAACCCUACAUCACAUUGCUUAAGGAUUAGAUGAGAUAUUGUAUGUAAAAUGCUUAGGAAAGUUUUCAAGAAAUAGGGGCUUGGUCUACAGGGUCUGACAGAUUCUUUUUUUUUUUUUUUUUUUGUCUUUUUGCCAUUUCUUGGGCCGCUCCCACGGCAUAUGGAUAUUCCCAGGCUAGGGGUCUAAUCGGAGCUGUGGCCACCAGCCCACGCCAGAGCCACAGCAACGCGGGAUCCGAGCCGCGUCUGCAACCUACACCACAGCUCACAGCAACGCUGGAUCCUUAACCCACUGAGCAAGGGCAGGGAUCGAACCCGCAACCUCAUGGUUCCUAGUCGGAUUAGUUAACCACUGCGCCACGACGGGAACUCCAGACAGAUUCUUUAGAUUCUGAGAUAACCAAUAUCUUUUUUGAUUUUUCUCAUUACACUUGUUUAGUUUUCCAUUUUUCUGUUGCUUUGAUUUUUAGUUGUUUUCAAAAAGGUGUUAAAUGACAUUUCAAGACAAAAAUUGAUAUUUAAAGUGUUGAAAAUGUAAAAAAUUUUACGUGAAAAAUAAAUUUUCACUUGAACCUUUGAAAUGAAUAUGCCACAUUUUUCCUAUUUCAUUUAAGGUAUCAAUCAUAUCUAUUAGGUUAAGAUGAUAAUUGAAAACUUGAAAUUCCUUUACAUAUUAGAAUAAAGUCUUACUCUUGCUUUAUCAUGAAAGGACAUUAAGGACUAUUUUAUAUAUUUAUAAUUAUUUCAUCAGAGCAUUCACUGAGAAACUAACUUCACCUUUAACAUUUUCAGGUUCUAGAGCAGUGGUUCUGUGGUAAAGAUGGUGAGGGUUAGAAAGGUGUCAUUAAGGAAAAUAAUUGUGUAAUAUAUCAGAAAUCCCUGCAAGAAGUUGUGCAAAACUCCAAUCAACCCUCGUUUUACUGUCACAGUAAUACAGAAUAUUAAAAUCUGGGAGUGGAAGGAUGCAUGGGAAGAGGAGAUGGAAUGUGCAUUUUAACAAAGCCCUUAAGGAGUCUUGUACCCACUCUCAGCAGGUAGUAUUAUGCAAGAGAAGGAUCCCCUUCUUUAGAGACACAUUGAACUAAGUUCAAAUUCAACUCUGAUAGUGACUGGCUAAUUUUGAGCUAAUAACCUGAAUUUCGUGAGCAUCAUUUUUCUCAUUCAAAAAAGAAAAAUACAGGAGUUCCCACUGUGCCACAGUGGGUUAAGGAUCCAGUGUUGUCUCUGUAGUGGCUUGGGUUUCUGCUGAGGUGUGGGUUCAGUUGCUGGCCUGGUGCAGUGGGUUAGGAUCUGGCAUUACUCAGAUUCGAUCUCUGGGCCAGGAACUUCCAUAUGCCAUGAGUGCAGGCAAAAACAAAAACAAACAAAAAAUAGUACCAAUCAUCCAGCUUUGUUGACAGGAUUUAGUGAGAUAAUAUGUAAUUUAUUUGUUUAAACCUUGCCCUGCUCCAGGCAACAUUUAAGGCAGCAGCAAGGAUGUUUAACUAUAACUUAUAGGGGAGAAUGUAAGGGGAGGGCAAAGGGAAACAAUGUUAAUAGGCACAUCCUAUGUAAUGAGGUGAUGGAAAUUAUGUUACUCUUACAAAUGGCACCAGAAUCUUCUUGGAGAGUAGAAAUGCUUUAACUGGAAGAAAUACUUUGCAGUUGCCCUUGGGGUAAGAAGAGAGUCUUGAGGAUUUGGCUGCUGGGAAGUGCUCAGGUGAUCUGAGGGAGAAUUUGGUCCUGCAGAAGAGAAUUGCAGAGGAUAGAGAAGAGAAAGAAAGAUGAGAAGAGAGAGAGGAAGAGGAGAAGCCUACGAAAAGGCUGAAAACUAACUGGGUGCACUCAGUCCAUAAACAGACCCCUCCCCAGCAACGGGGUAGGGGGGACAAAAAGACAGCCAGUGUCUGUAUGUCAGAUUUCAAGCAUCAGUAGGGCUUGAAGUAAGCGGUUUUGGUGGUGGUGGUAUGCGCAUGGAAAGGAGUUGUGCUGUAUUAACAAGAGAGGUCAACAAGCCCUCCCGCCAGGUGAUGGUCAGUGUUAAGGGCUCUUACUGGUCAUGAAGUUGGGAAAUUCAUCUCAGUUUUGUCUAGAUCUUCAGGGAAAAAGAGGGUUCUUCAACUUCUAGGAGUUUAGCAGAAGUCCAAGGGUGUUCAGAUAAAAUAAAGGUUCUCACAAAGCUUUCUAGGAGUGGGUGUCAAUUAGGAAGCUUAUGUACAAACCCCAGUGUUGAUUAGAUACAAACAACUCAAUGGUUCAAGGGAAGGACACCUGUUUCUGAUACUAAGAUCAAAAGGAAAUUUGUCCCAAGGAUCUGGGUAAAGAGGAGUGAGAUGUAGAAAAAAAUCAAAGCAGUAUGAUAUACUUAAGAUGUUUGAUGCAUUUUUAGUUCCCUUUCUGGCCUUUUCCUUCCCCACAAGUUUCUGUGAAGAUUGUAACCUAUUUAAAAGGUUUUUGGAAAUUGUAAAUACUAUUGUUAAUUAAUAAUCCAAAGAACAUUAUAUACCAGAUUUCAUUAAAAUUUCAUUAAAUACUGUUGAAAAUACUGAGGUGUUCAUAAAAGGAUAAUCUGAAUAAAAAAAUGUUCUUUCUGAGAAAAUGCUCUACCUUUCCAAGUUACUACCAUGAAGUCAAGAGCAUUAUCCCAUACUUUGAGUCUUCUCGUAGGCCAUUAUAGCACCAGGUUUUAGAAUCCUGAAUCCUGCCCCAUUUGUAAUGGCAACAGGAGGAUAGGGUGAUGCAGUGUGUCUCCUAAGGAGAUCUGCAUCUUAGGCGCAAAUGUUCUUGAGUCUGAAAAUGCCUUUUGUUGUAUACGAACAGACUUCUAAGUCAGAUUUCCCAGUGAGGCUGCUCCCAACUGGAUCUGUCAAUUUAUGUCAAUUCACAAGGUUGCUUCCCUGUGCUUGAAAUGUUUCAAGCAUGGAUUCAUAUGAUUAGGAAAAUAGAAACCAUAAAAAUAUUUAUGAACUGACAGGCAGCCUGGAAAGAGGAUGUAGACAAAAGCCAAGGCUUCUGGAAAUUAUAAAAUCCUUUACAUUUACGAGGCCAAGUCCAAUAAGUUGUUUCUUCAACAAUGUAUGAUGUGAUUGCCAUUUAUUUUUCUCCUAAAACAAUUCCUUUGGUAGUUUUAAAAGAAAUGACUACAUAAAACCAAAAAGAAGGGAAUUCUAGAAUAUAGGGUAGAAAGACUCCAUGCUUUUUUUUUUUCCAUUUUAAAACUCAUUUGUUCAUUUUUUUCCUACCUAGGUGAAUUGGCUGUUAAAUGUUGAUAUUAAGAAUGUGAUUCUAAUACUAGAGUAGUGUUUGAAUUAGUCAUGAGUAAAAGAUCUUCCGUUGACAGAUGAGUCCAUUUGUAGCAAACAUCUUUACCAUAACAAAAAUCCACUACUUUGAAAACCAUAACACAUCAAAAGAAUUUUGACGAUUCUGGCCAUUCCCCACUUCCUCUCUUCAGAAUCUAUUUUUAUCCAGCCUCAUCAUGAGCAUCUCCUUUGAGUAAUAUGAGUUGCAUGCUUUCUACAUUCCUUCUGUAUCCUUAGUGUCUUAGAAGCUUCAAUCAAGACAGGCAAAAGAAAAUAAAAAGGUUUUAUUUCCAAGGAAAUGGCUUUUCAGGACCUGAUUCUUCACACCUAUUCAUCACUGCUAAGUGCUCCAAAACUGCUGAGUACAGAGUUCAGGAAGCGACUAGUAUAUCACUAUUAGGUCUCUUGUCUUAAACUGAAGUCCCUAAUGUCUUUCACAUUGUGUUUUAUGCAUCAACAAAAUAGUGUGUAUGGGAACAUUUAUGUUCAGCGUGGGGGAAAAAAAUCUCCUUCAUUCCCACGCUGCUGUUAAAAAAAAA